UGGCGAGAAGUCGCGGUUCCACGCUACUAUAGGGUCGAUAAAGCAGCGACUCACACUCCGCAGCUCGCGCACAGUGUGUGAUCGGCAUACUUAGCAUAUUUGCGUGAGAGCGACGCUGACGCGCAGCGGCCAAACAAUUUUCGGCGCAGAGAUUCUCAACACAGCAGCAGCUAUAGUUAGUUCGCGAGUCGUGCCUCGCGCGGACACAUGUACACUUCGCGGGACGAGCACCGCCGCCGUCGUCGCCGACGACCUCGACGCAAGCAGCAACAGCAGGAGGACGACGCGCAGCUCUUCUCCGCGGCUUAUAUUCGGCGAUCAAAAGGCGCGCGACGGAACAGCGCGUAGGAGAGGAGAGAAAGAAAGCGAGAGCGCUCUGUACUUAUGUAUAUACACUCGUAUCGUACACACGCAAAUAGUAGUGCGCGCACGCAGUCAUCAGCGGAAGAGGUGGAAGUGAGGAGCCUGCAAAGUGAAGAGAUGGCCCGCGGAGGUUAUCCUUUAUAGAGAAGGAGAGAGAGAGAGAGAGAGAGAGAGAGAGAAAGAGAGAGAGAGAGAGAGAGAGAGAGAGAGGAAGGAGGAUGGCAUCGGACAGGAUGCCGCCCGGAAACUGCUGAGAUCCGUAGCGACUCCGAAACGGAUCUUCUCUUGACUUCGGCUCGCGGGGCUUUUCUUAUCCGCUUUCUCGGCUUCUCCUGUCGACAAGAUGAACAGCGGCGCGUCGGCGACGUCGCCGAGCGAGCCGCUCAACUCGCUGGCGACGGCCGCCGGCGACGACUGGGCCGAGUUCUGCGAGCGGCAUGCGCGGGCCGCCGCCGCCGACUUCGCCAAAGCCUUCUGCACCUACGUCAAUCUCGACCUCACCGAGUCGGCGAGGGCCAGCCUAUCCUACCGGGACUUUCUCAGGAAGUUCGUCGAGACCUUCUGCGACCACUUCGAGGCGGAGUACGUCCGGCGCACCAAAUCACCAUCUACCCAUGAUGCAAACUCAAGGCAACCUACAUCAAAUGAUCGCGAGGGAAACUCAACAAAUCACAAUAACAGGACCCCAGUUCGCACAUCAUCUCAUGAGGAGUUCAGUGAUUACUCAGAGCAGGAUGGAGAAAUAGUGUCCCCAAAACCUGCGCACAAGCCCUUCUUCAGAAGACUUUCCUUCAAGGGCCUAAAAAAAGGAAAGGGUCUAUUCCACAAACAGCAAAGCGAUGAGGUAGUACUGUCUCACCCAGAUAGCCGUAGAACAGAUAAACAUUCCAAGGCCAAGCUUUCAAAGAUUGUAGUAGAAUGCAGAAAGGAAGGAACUGUAAAUGCAAUGGUCAUUGAAAAUACAGACGUGCCUCAAAAGUUCGAAAAGUGCAGACUAGCACUGGUCAAAGCCAGUGCUGGCUACAUGCUUGAAUUCUGCUCUUCUUCAAAGGCCAAGCCGCGUCACGGCAUAUUUUGUUCGUCCAUCACCGAAGCUCGCGAGACAACGGCUCUAGAAAUGCCAGAUCACGAGAAUACGUUUGUGCUCAAGACCCUGGAGCGGGAGUUCAUAAUCGAGGCGAAAGAUCCGAACGAUAUGAGGUCAUGGCUGGCCACGAUUCGUUACUGCAUGAGAAACACCUACGGGCUCCCGAACCUCAUGGGCAGCGGUGCGAACGAUACGGUAAUGGUUGAGAGCAUGAUGCAUGGAUCCGCUUCUAUGAAUAUAGAAGGGGAUAGGGUCAGAGCCAAUUCCGCGAGCAAAAGCACUCGUUCUGCACUGGAUCAUGUGGACGAGCAGGGGAACCCACCAGAACUACCGCCAAGACUCCGAGCGAGAAGUAACAGUAAUCUAGAACUAUGUUCCUCGCAACAAGAAAUCGAACAAAUUCCCGGAGCGGAAGUCGAAGUCGAUCUUUCAAGCAGCCUUCGCGAGUACCCGUGGUUCCAUGGUACACUACCGCGAUCUGAUGCAGCGCAGCUGGUUUUGCAUAAUGCAACAGAGGGUCACGGGACAUUUUUGGUACGACAGAGUGAAACGCGCAAAGGAGAAUACGUCCUAACAUUCAACUUUCAAGGCAGAGCUAAGCACUUGCGGAUGACGCUGACCGAUCAGGGCCACUGUCGGGUUCAGCACCUCUCCUUCCCGGCGAUCUACGAUAUGCUUGAUCACUUCCGUCAAAAUCCAAUACCUCUGGAAUCGGGCGGCACAGCCGAUGUCAAGCUCACCGAGUAUGUCGUGGCGAAUCAGACUAUACGAGCAGCGAGUAACACCCAACAAUCAGCUCAGUCAUCAACUGCUCAACAGCAGCCACAGCAGCAGCCAGACAGGAGACCCGCGGCGGCGCCGGAACCAAGAGAAGUAAGAGUCAGCUGUGGAAGUCUAACUCCUCUCGAGUGAUCGCCGAGACAAUGUGAGGCGACCGGCGAACGCUCUGUCGAUCUCUUUCUCCCACAGUCAGAAGCCUUGGUUUGACACGGACAGUACAAACAUACGGUGGUUCAAUAAGAAUGCGAGCCGAAUCGCUGGAACGACUCGAGCAACAGCAUCAACAGCAGCAACAGAACAACGCCAAUGGCGAACAACAGGCCUCGACAAGCAGGGCGGUCCAGAACGCAUACAGCUUCCUUUGACGCUGGAUGCGCAAAGCCCUGCCGACCGGCUACCAUCCGGUCAGUCCACCAGACUGACGUAUUCAAAUGAAUCUGAUAAAUUGCUAUGCAUAUAUAUACAUACAUUAUUGCAAUGUAAAUUCCCUACGAUAUAUGAUUGGAUUUCUUUUUUACCGGUAGCCUUUUGUAAUUUUUCUUUCUUUUACGUUUUAUUUUUGAAAUGUUUAAUAACAUCAAAUACUUUCUAUUUUUUAGACACGAGUUUUUAUCGAUUGCUAUUCCUUUUGCUUAUAAUUUUAUUGUUGAAAUCGGGAAAAAAUUAACAUAUUGUAAAUAUAUUUUUUGUUUAGUUUAACAUAAUAUCAUAGUAAUUUUUUAACACUGACAUGGCGAUUGUGAUUAUAACUAUUGCCAAGAUCACUCUUAUUUGAAAGAAAAAUCUAAAUGAAUAAUGAAUAGAUUACUCAAUUGUAAAAAUGUUCGCGUAAUAGAAAAAUUCUUUUCCCUGUUCAACUAUAAAUAUUCUCGCGAAAUAUUUGGCUGUGAAUCUUUUCAUGUUAAUAAAAAAGGUUUUUAUUCAUAAAUAUUAAAUAUUCGAUAAUCAUCUUCAAAAUAGUAAUAUAGAUAGUAAUAUGAUUUCAAAACAAUUAAACAUUUCAAAAAUGUAAAUAUUUUAUUUUAUAGUUGCUCUUUUACUAUAAGUUCAAACUAUUAUAAAGCUACACUGUAAACAAUUUUUUCGUAAUAUUACCAACCCAGUAGUAAACCAAACAGUCUUACGCCCAGCACAGUAAAUUUACAACGGUAUAAAUAAAUUCACAACGGUACAUAGUAAUUUUACUAUUUUGCGCGCUGUAAUUUUACAACGGCGGUAGUAUUUUCACACUGAACGCGAGAAUCUGACCCCUGUAAAAUUACUACGCUAAGAGUAGUAAACUAAUCCGAUCUAUACGCUGGGCGAAGCAAUUUUACUACAAGGAUAGUAAAAUUACUAGAUUUUUGUAAUUUUACGUAGCUGAUCGUAGUAAGCUAUACGAAGGAUUGGAACCUCAUGUAAUUUUACUACAUUUUAUUGAUUUUAAAAAAUCACUUUUUACAGUGUAGAUAUCCUUUUAGAUUUGGCCAAUUAUUAUAGUUAUUUAAUUUAUAAAAAGCGUACAAUUAGCAUAGAAAUCAAAUUUCUUUGAGUUAUUUUUUAAUUUAAUAUAAAAAAUAGUAACUUUUGAGAUCAGUGAUAUCACACAAUCUUACCGAUAAUGAUUAAGAUUUAGAAAAGUUUCUAAAAAUGGGGCAUAAUUUACUUUUGUGAAAUGCUUUGGUAUGCGCUUUUAAAGUUUAGAUCGUUGUAUCGAUUGAUCGUUGAAUCGAAUCAGUAGAAGUAAAUUGUAGUUUUUGCUGACGCAGUAUCAUAACAAAUUGUAUAUUUUUAAAGUCUACAGUAAAUUUAUACAUAUUUUAUUUAAUAAUAGUAUCUUGAAAAAAGAAAGCUUCUAAGCGAUAGCGUAAGAAAAAAUGCCAUAAAACGCCAAUGCAACUAAGGAAUUUAUAGUUGAUUGUUACUCAAUCGUGACUGUUCAUCUUUACAUGAAUUUAGUAGUAUGAUUAUUCUUUUUUUUAUUAAUUUUCUUGAUGCCAUAACUACAAUAGUCUAGUGCCGAUUUUGAAUUUAUGCUGUGCUACUCGCAUUCCCAGUUUUUAUAUGCAUACAUGUAUCUAUAUAAAUAUAUAUAUGUGUGUAUAUGUAAUACUACCAAGGAUACAAAUGUACUAUACUGGAACGAUAUGUGACACAAGGGACAUUUGUGCCUUUACAAGACAAUUUAAUCAUGAACUGUAAUUACUGUACAGUGUGCUCAUUUUCUUAACCAAAUUGUAAAAAAGAAAAUUUUUUGCAAAAGUUUUUUUAAUCACUGUAUUUGUAAACACUUACUUUUCGUAUAUUUUUAUGAUUAUUUUUAUAUCGUGUAAGAGAUUCGAGAAAAGACAUGCUGUGACAACAUUCACAUAGAAUAUUAAAAAUUAUGAUCUGUGUUAGUUACAAAAAGAGAUAAGCUUUCUAUAGAUGUAACGCGCUUGCUUUGUGAAAUUUGUCAUUAUGUGGUGAACAAUGGUAUCUCGGUGAUAAGACCCAGUCUAACAACUGUACAUUUUUUAUUUCUAUGCAUAAGUUUUUAAAUAUACUCAUGACUAGCCUUAUAGUUAGUUAGGAAUGAAAAAUAUAUGUUCAAGCGUAAUAUGACGUUCUUAACGGUAAGAGUCUAAACAAAUGGUUAGACUUUAAUUUGUAUAAUUUUCAAGAAUAAUUUGAUGUUUUGGAGAUGUUUCUUUCUUAUAAUGCUGCACAACUUUUUUGUUUGUUAUGUGUUCUAGAAAAGCUGAAUGAGAAAAAUUGAUUUAUUGUUCUUUUCUAUUACUAUAUAUAAAAAUCCCAUCAUUGCGUGUUCUUCUACGUUGUCACAGAAUGAAAUCUUGUUUUUUUUUUAAAGCUGAAUACUGCAAACAUGUGUACAGUAUCAUCUAGUCUAAAUAAACUAAGCCUUUGUAAAGUUA